GAUGAACGCUGGCGGCGUGCCUAAUACAUGCAAGUCGAGCGAACGGACGCGAAGCUUUCUUCUCUGAUGUUAACGGCGUACGUGUUAGUAACACGUGUAUAACCUACCUAUAAGACUGGGAUAGCUUCGGGAACCCGUAGCUCAUACCGUAUAAUAUUUUGAACCGCAUGGUUCGCAAGUGAAAUUCGGUCUUGCUGUCACUUAUGGCUGGAUUCGCGCUGCAUUAGCUAGUUGGUAAGGUAACGGCUUACCAAGGCAACGAUGCAUAGCCGACCUGAGAGGGGGAUCGGCCACACUGGGACUGAGACACGGCCCAGACUCCUACGGGAGGCAGCAGUAGGGAAUCUUGCGCAAUGGGCGAAAGCCUGACGGAGCAACGCCGCGUGAGGGAUGAAGGUCUUCGGAUCGUAAAACGCUGUUAUUAGGGAAGAAAAGAUGUGUAAGUAAAUGUGCACAUAUUGACGGUACCUAAUGAGAAAGCCACGGCUAACUACGUG
rnacentral:rRNA from 1 species